GACGAACCGUGCGAACGUUAUUCGGAAUCACUGGGCUUAAAGGGCGCGUAGGCGGGCUCGUAAGUCAGGGGUGAAAGCCCACGGCCCAACCGUGGAAGUGCCUCUGAUACUGCGGGCCUCGAGGGGGAUAGGGGCGUGCGGAACUCAGGGUGGAGCGGUGAAAUGCGUAGAUAUCCUGAGGAACACCGGUGGCGAAAGCGGCGCGCUGGAUCCCUUCUGACGCUGAGGCGCGAAAGCCAGGGGAGCAAACGGG
rnacentral:rRNA from 1 species